UGCAGCAAAAUUUAAAGCACAAACUGCCUUUUUUUUUUUUGCCUCCUCCCGUUUUGCUGUAGUCUAACCUCAUGAUUUCAUGUUUUGGUUAUUACCUUCUUAUGUAACUGCCUUUUCCAUCAGCAAUUAAAUAAAAUUACCGUAGGUAUGUUAAGAACAUUGCCCUAGCAUCUAGCACUGUCAAAUAAUGCUUUUCUCAUUUUUUAUCUUCACGGAAAACGGAUUUGCACCAAAACAGGCAUGUACAAUGUGUUGUCUCUUGCUUUGUUUCCUGUGUGCUUUUUAUACUUGAAGAAGAAAUUACUUGGCCUGGGUUUGGAUUUUUGCAUCCUGCUGUUCAGAGCUGCAGUAGUGCUUUUUUUUUUUUCUUUUCUUAAUGCUGCACUCAGCAGAAGUGCGUAGAGUCCAGCGGCCGCACGCCCAGCAGCGCUGCCAUCUCAUUCUGGGGGCACCCAGCCAUCGGGGCGUCCAGUCUAUGGGGGCAGCCCACCAUCAGGACACAGAGCUGCUCAGCCAUAUAUAUGGCACAUAGCAGGUGGUCAGCUGCGCCUCUCUGAUUAGCACUCACACUAGGAUUGUGGUUAUUACAAUAAUUCAUUUUAGCCUGGGGAUUCGUUUUGGAAAUUUGGAUUUUCUACUAAGAAGGGAUUAUCGUUUCUCCAUGUAGUACGUGUGUUUUAUGAAGAAGUGGAGUACAGUGUGUAUCCUGACUGCUCUCCCUGCUCCCGUCUCUGUAAUGUAGACCCAUUUGGACAGCGCAGGUGGCGCACAAUCUAGCAUUCCUUGCAAUCACAAGAUGAUCCCGGAGAAGCUUCAUGGAGUUCUCCACGUGCUUCCUCUGAAGUUGAGCAGUAUUCAUUCAUGGCAGCGCUAAAUGCUUCUCCUUGUCUCCUUUUGUGAAUAGCCCUCAUACAAACAAUGCAAUUACUUGAAUAAGGACUGAAGCAAGAUUUAGCUUGUUAGUUUGUUUCUGAGAUACUCUGAAAGGUGUGGUUCUGAUACUGUGGGAGAGAUUAAAGAUGGGAGAGUCUUGGUAUUGAAUACUGUCAGGCCAGGAGCUGUUCUAACAGAGGUGAUGCUACCCAUUCUUUGAAAUUGUUGGAAAUCUCAGUUGUGGGGAUGCAGGCACUAAGGUUGCCUCUGUGUUUCAACUCUGGUAAAAGCUGCUUAAAAAAAAAAAUAAUUCUAACAGUACAGCUUCUUUAUUAAUCCCACCUGCUAGUUGAAGUUCAAACAAAGGGCUUUUAGUAAGUAACAAAAUAAUUACUUCAAAGUAUGUUAGUCGGUCAUCGUGGACUUUGCCAGGGAAUCUAACUUGUUUCCACAAUGAUUUUCCUGAUGUUCCUCCCAAGGCUCUGAUCCCAAGUCUUAACCUAUUUAGUUUCCCCACAGGACUGAUGUCAGUGUGCAGAGCUUGUAGGCCCCAGCAGACAGGGCACAGAGCUUGACACUUGUACAAGUCCUGUGGUUCACUCUCAGAUGGGAUGCUAGCCAGCUCAGGUCAAAGUGCCUUGUGAAGAUCACCCAGAGCAACAGAGUCUUCGAGAUUUAAAUGUACAUGUGGCAUCCCUGAGUUGAUCACAUCUCCUGCAGCUGCAGCUCUUCAGCCUGCGUAGUGAGGAGCUCUCUAUGAGCAGGGAGUUAUCAGCUUUCUCCUUGCUUCCAGGUCCCUGGUGGCCUUGCCACUCCUGGAAACUUCACCCUGGUGCUAGCCACUUCCUUUAGGUCCAGAGUAGCUGCAGGAUGAUCCUGCUCUCCAGCUUGACUAUCUGCCUAUUCACAUUAAAAGAAAUUGUGACUCCCUAUAUGUCUGCUGUUUGUUUACGCUCAGCAUCUUUCUUGGUGUUGGCAAUAAAGAGAUGAGUCAGUUUUAC